AUACGGAGGAUCCGAGCGUUAUCCGGAUUUAUUGGGUUUAAAGGGUGCGCAGGCGGCCAUUUAAGUCAGCGGUUAAAUCGUGGGGCUCAACCCCAUUCUGCCGUUGAUACUGGGUGGCUUGAUUGCGGUCGAGGUUGGCGGAAUUCGUUGUGUAGCGGUGAAAUGCGUAGAUAUGACGAAGAACACCGAUUGCGUAGGCAGCUGACCAGACCGCAAAUGACGCUCAUGCACGAAAGUGCGGGGAUCGAACAGGAUUAGAUACCCUGGUAGUCCGCACAGUAAACGAUGAAUACUUGUUUUCGGCGAUAUAAUGUCGGAGGCAAAGCGAAAGCGAUAAGUAUUCCACCUGGGGAGUACGCCGGCAACGGUGAAACUCAAAUGAAUUGACGGGG
rnacentral:rRNA from 1 species